CCAAAAAUAAAUUGUUCUCUGGGUAUUUUAACCUCUAAAGUUGGACAGUAGUAAAAAUUAGUUUUUGGGAAAUGGGUCUAAAGUUGUAACAAACCUCAUAAGUUGCGGAUCAGAGUUCAAGGAUCAACUCUGUGCAUGUAUUGCUUUUUCAUUGUUGUUGGUUUUGUUUCCUUUCUUUAUGUUCAGUGAAGACGGAAUUGCUGGUAGGUGUGAAUGUCUAGGGUGUGCCCAGUUCUUGUCCAAAGUCAAGUAGAAGACUUCCUACUCACCUGAGACCCUUGAACAGGAUAAGCGGUAGAAAAUGGAUGAAUAAACAAAAACGUAUUUUUACACUUGUAUGCAGGGUGUCCAGAAAUCCUCUAAAAAUAUUUUCCAAAUAAAGGCCUUCAGAUUGCUUCAAUACACAAAUCUGUUUUCUAUGCUGCUUAUCCUCAUCUCUUGGAUGAACUGCAGCCUAGUUUUUUGUACUUCUUCCUUGCCCUCCUGGCGGUUAAGAUCCGAGAAUGUUGCUAAUAUUUAGUCGGCGGAAUUUUAUCCCGGCUGUCUUUGAACAAAAGGCAGAACAGUUAAUAUCCAGUACUAAAGAUUUUUGAGGGAUGACAGUUUGACCCAGCAACAUGGUUUUAGCGG